GCUUAUCCAAUAAACCAAUUGAACUUGAUCCAAUCAAGCCCAAACCAAAUCUAAUUAAAUCAUAUUCAAUUAGACUUAAUCUCAGCCCAUUGGCUUAAUCAAAUUAAGCCAAUUAGCAAUAGAAUUGCUAAUCAUUUUUCCUGCAACACUUGCACUAGGUUAAAUGUCAAUCGUAUUGAUCAUUUAACCCUAGAAUGAUUCUUAAUCGUUGAACAACCAUUCGAUUGGAUCAUGAAC
rnacentral:lncRNA from 1 species